GCUAAUGAUGAGAGACAGCUGUCAUUAAUUUUCAAUGAAGGUACACUCCUAUAGUCUUCCCUCCACAUAGUAGAAUGUUAGAGAACUUGUCCUGGCUGUGAUUGCAAUGGAGAGCUGAAACACAGAGAAGCUGAAAGUAGACUGUGAAGAUGUCUUUUGUGAAGUAGAUCACACCUUUUCAGCCAAUGGAAAGUAAACACAUUUUACUGAAUGGUGAUAAAAUAAAUAAAAGUGAAGGCUGGGUUCAAUCACUUACAAGAACUGCUGGUUAAGGGAACAAGGCGUUUCUAAGGGGAAAUCUACUACAUUAUACCAGUACAAAUCAGCCAAUUCUUCCUUAAUAAAAAUGUACUGCUACUGGCCAAUUGUACACUGCUGUCUCACCUGUGGUCUUUAAAAUUUUAUUGAGAGUUUGAUAUAAAUUGUCUGACAGAGCAGUUUUGUAUUGAGGAGAAACUUCAACAAACUAAAGAUCUUAAUCAGCGCAAUAUGAUCCAUGAGAAAUCCUUCAGCAAAGCUCAGUAAUCAUCAGAGAAUUAACACAGGAGAGAGGACUUUUUCAAUACUCAGAAUUUAACAAGUGCAUUUCAGAGAAGAAAUUUUUUUGCCACCAGAAGAAGAUUCAGAAAUGGAAAACAUGUUUAAAUGUUUGAAAUGUGACAAGAAUUUCUCAAGAAAGGCAUAUUUUAUUAUACAUAUGAGGGGUCACACCGGAGAGAAGCCAUUUUAAUGCUCAGAAUGUGAUAAAUGUUUCUCAUCAAACGACAGUCUUACUAAACACCAGAGAAUUCACACCGGAGAGAAACCAUAUAGUUGUUCAGAAUGUACUGAGAGCUUCUCACUAUCGGCAUCUCUUUUUUACCACCAGAAGAAGGUUCACCAAGUAGAAAAAACAUUUAAGUGCACAGAAUGUGACAAGUGUUUUUAUAUAAAGUCACAACUUAUUUCUCAUCAAAGAAGUCACACAGGAGAGAAGCCAUUCAGAUGUUCAGAAUGUGACAAAUGUUUUGCUAAAAAAUCUAA